UACACCGUACCAAAAGAUCCCUAAACCCUCAUCUCUCAAAAUUAAUCUCUUCCAAAUUUCUCUCAAAGAUGAAGCCUCAACCUCAUUCUUCAUCUCCGCUGGAAGCAACUGGCGAUAUCAUCCGGCAAAGAAAUUUUGAAAUGGACAAGACUUGGAUGCGCUAUAACGAUAGAUUGAGCGAUGCAUAUUUAAAAGGAGUUGAGGAUUUUCUUCAAUUUGCUUUUAAGCACACAGAACCAGAAGGUGAAAUUCCUUGCCCUUGUAAAAAAUGCAACAAUGUUUUUCACAAAACUAGAGACGAAGUAAAGGAACAUUUAAUAAUUUUUGGGAUAGUCAAGGGGUAAACUCGUUGGCUUUUUCACGGAGAAUUUGCACCCAAAGAGCAAAUCACUAAUAAGAAUGAAAUAAGACAAGAGGAAGUAAGAAAAGGGCAAGGUGAUGAUAUAUUUGAAAUGAUUUAUGAUGCCACUGGCCCUGAUAUCACGAAUUGUUCUGGUGGGGUUGAUCCUUCUGAACCAGCUUCGGAAUUUUCCAAAUUACUGGAGGAUGCUGCACAACAACUUUAUCCUGGUUGCGAGAAAUUCUCCAAGUUGUCACUGAUUGUGGAGCUGUUGCAAAUUAAGUGCCUUUAUGGAUUGAGUGAUAAAAGCAACUGACUGCAUAAUGAAGUUAAUUAAACGAGCACUUCCUUCUAGUGAAACUUUACCUGAAUCAUUCUAUGGAGCAAAAAAAGUGAUUCGAAGUUUAGAUCUUCGUUAUGAAAAAAAUACAUGCUUGCGAAAACGAUUGUAUGCUGUUUUGGAAACAUAAUGCAAAAGCUGAAUCUUGCUUGGUUUAUGGCGAGUCUAGGUGGAAAUCAAGAGAAGGUCAAAAAGCUAAUAGGGCUAUUACAGAAAAAAGUGGAAGCAAAAUUCCUCGAAAAGUUUUACGUUACUUUCCUUUGAAACCAAGAUUGCAAAGGUUGUUUACGUCACCAGAAAUAGUUUCAGACAUGACAUGGCAUCAUGAUCAAUAUUUGAAAGAUGGGGUUCUUAGACAUUCAGCCGACUCAGAUGCAUGGAAACGUUUUGAUACAUCUAACCCGGGCUUUGCCAGAGAUCCUGGUAAUGUUAGACUUGGAUUAGCAUAUGAUGGGAUAAAUCCUUUCGGCAAUUUAAGUGUUUCUCAUAGCACUUGGCCAGUAAUUAUUACUGUGUAUAACCUACCCCCCUUGGAUGUGCAUGAAACAACCAUAUUGCUUCUUGUCUUUGUUGAUACCUGGCCUUAAAGCUCCUGGAAAUGAUAUCGAUGUGUACUUAGAACCUUUGGUGGAUGAGUUGCAAGAAUUGUGGUAUAAUGGAGUCGAUACAUAUGAUGUUUCGAGAAAGGAGAACUUCUGUAUGCGGGCAACACUCUUAUGGACUAUAAAUAAUUUUCCAGCUUAUGCCUACUUGUCUGGAUGGAGCACAAAUGGAGCUUUGGCUUGCCCUUCAUGCAACAAAGAGACUUCGUCUACUCGAUUAAAGUAUGGUCGUAAGUUCUCUUAUAUUGAUGCUCGUAGGUUUUUAUCGCCUAAUCAUAAGUGGCGGGGAAUUAAACGUGAUUUUAAUGGGGAAGUAGAAAGAAGACCUGCUCCAAAAAUUCUCUAUGGAGAUGAUAUUUUAAACCAGUUGGAUAGCUUGGAAGACAUUAAAUUUGGUAAGACCCAAAAGAGAAAAAGAUACGAAAAAAGUAAAGGCAUUCAUAAUUGGAGGAAGAAAAGCAUCUUUUUCAAACUUCCUUAUUGGAAAAAUAAUCUAAUACGCCACAAUUUAGACGUCAUGCAUAUUGAAAAAAAAUGUGUGUGACAAUAUUAUUGGGACGUUAUUAGAUAUGGAAGAAAAAACGAAAGAUAAUUUGAAUGCUCGUCGUGAUUUGAAGGAAAUGGGUAUAAGAAAAGAUUUGCAUCCAACUCAAAGAGAUGGAAAAUGGUGUUAUCCAGCAGCAUUCUAUAGUUUAUCACCAGAUGAGAAGUCUAAAGUAUGCAAGUUCUUGAAAACUAUUAAGGUUCCAAAUGGAUAUUCUUCCAAUUUAUCACGGUGUAUAAGGUUAGAGGGUCGUAAAAUUUAUGGACUGAAGAGUCAUGACUCUCAUAUUCUUUUGGAACAACUGCUUCCUUUUGCAAUCCGCGAAAUCCUGCCAAACCAUGUCUAUAAAGCUAUUACUGAGCUAAGUAUUUUCUUCAGAGAGUUAUGUUCAAAAACUGUACGAGUUGAUGUGUUGGAUCAACUUGCAACUCAAAUUCCAAUUACGAUGAGCAAAAUAGAAAAAAUAUUUUCGCCGACAUUUUUUGAUAUAAUGGUGCACUUGUUCAUUCAUCUUCCAAGAGAGGGUACGUUUGCUGGACCUGUACAAUACAGAUGAAUGUACCCAAUAGAGCGAUUCUUGCGCAAACUGAAAUGUUAUGUUCGCAAUAGAAGUCGACCUGAAGGUUCUAUUGCAGAAGGGUAUAUUGUUGAAGAAAGUCUAACAUUUUGUUCAAGAUAUUUACAUGGAAGUAAGAAAGGGUAUAAUCGAUGGAUAAAAAUGAUGAAGAUGAUCAUGUUAAGUCAGACUGUGGAUUGUCAAUAUUUGAACAAAAAGGCUGCCCUUUGCUAAGAGAUACAUCUAGAAAUUUGUGAUAACCCAAAAUAUCAUCUUUAAAGUUAAUAAUUAAUUCAGUAUUCUAAGA